rnacentral:rRNA from 1 species
AUGCUGCAGCGGGCGGCGAGCAACGCCUACUCGUGGUGGUGGGCGAGCCACAUCCGCACCAGGCAGUCCAAAUGGCUCGACAGCAACCUCCAAGAUAUGGAAGACAGGGUCAAGUGCAUCCUCUUACUCCUGGGAGAGGAAGCAGAUUCUUUUGCAAAGAGGGCGGAAAUGUAUUACAAGAGGCGACCAGAGGUGAUCAGCUCCGUGGAAGAAGCGUACCGGGCAUACAGAGCCCUUGCAGAACGCUAUGACCACAUGUCAGGAGAGCUACACAAAGCAAACCACACUGUUGCAACUGCCUUCCCUGACCAGGUUCAGUAUUCUAUGCUGGAAGAGGACGAUGACAGUCUCCCGAAGGCGUUCACGACGGUUGAUCCUCGUAAAAUCCACAAGUCAACGGUGGAAGGGCUGAUGAAUAAGAAGAAAGGAGGGAAGCCAGGACUGAAGGACGGAGGAAAGAGUCGUGCAGCACCGGCCAACAAGGAGAAUGCGCAAAAGGAGAUCAGCAGGAUGCAGAAAGAGAUAUUGGUGCUGCAGACUGAGAAAGAGUUCAUCAAGAGCUCUUACGAGAGUGGAAUCGCAAAGUACUGGGAUCUUGAAAAGCAAAUCAACGACAUGCAUGAAGAAGUCUGCUACUUCCAGGAGGAGUUCAACGAAAGCGUGGUGAUCGAAGAUGAUGAGGCCAGAGCUUUGAUGACAGCAACUGCUCUUAAAUCUUGUGAAGACGCCAUCGCCAGAUUGCGGGAACAGCAGAGGUUAUCGUUCAGCCAAGCAAUGGUUGAGCUGGAAAGGGCCAGUGUUUCCAGAGAGAAACUGAAGAAUAUCAUGAAAGAGCAUGGUAAGUUCAUAUCAGAUUCAGGAAACUCUCAUUACGAGAAUGUGAGAAACGAUGCCAGCGUUAAGAUGGAUGAUCUGUACUCUAUGAAGCAGGAGAAAAUUGGAAUGGAAGCAAUAGUAGAUAAGAUCAAGGAAUACUUUCAGAAAGACACUGAUAUUUCUGUGGCAGAGAUUGCAGAGAGAAUUGAUGACAUGGUCAAUAAAGUUGUGGACUUGGAACUCAUGGUUUCAUCACAGACUGCUAAGAUAGAUAGGCUGUGUCUGGAAAACACAGAGCUGGAGAUGUCACUGCAGGAACUGGAGGGAGAGAAGGCUAUAGCAACCAGUGGCUCAAAUGAAUUGAAUGACAAGCUAGAGAAGGCAGAAGAUGAGCUGAUGAGAGUGCAGUACCUUGAAAGCUCCUUCCAUGCAGAAGAAAGCAUAGUCCAUUCGAAUUUCACUGAAACGGCAAGUAGCUUCUGUUGUAUUACAGACUUGUUGCAGUCACCUCCUGUUGAGCACCAAGGUGGUUCUGUGCCCAUGCUGACUCAUGAAGCGGCACCCAUUGCUGACACUGAAUCAUCUGAUGAGUGCGAGAAAACAGAACCUGAAGAAGAUCCUCAGAUGGAUAAAGCUACAAUAAAGCCUGACAUAGAUGAACUCCCUGAUUGUUCCAGUAAACUGGAGCUAGCUACGGUCAGUGAUAACUGUCACCAUGACAUCAAGGAAGAAAGGCAAUACUGCGCAGAUGAUUUGGAGGAUUUGUGGGAUUGCGGGCUUGAAAGAAAGUCCAGCUUUGCAGUUGCAUCUGUAAAUAAGGAAACAGCAGAAAAUGUUAUUACAGAUAUGUUGCACUCACCUCUCACUGAGCACCAAGCUGGUUGUGUGCCCACACUGGCUGAUGAAGCAACACCAUCCGCUGACACCGAACCAUCUGGCGAGUAUGAGAAAAUAAAACCAGAAGAAGAUCCUCUGAUGAAUAAAGCUACAAGAAAGCCUGACAUAGAUGGACUCCCUGAUUGUUCCAGUAAGUUAGAGCUAGCUACAGUCAAUGAUAACUCUCACCAGUCUAACUGUUACAAUGACAUUAAGGCAGAAAGGCAUGACUGCACAGAUAAUUUGGAGGAUUUAUGGGAUUGUGGGUUUGAAAGAAAUGCUAGCUUUGCAGUUGCAUCGGUGAAUAAGGAAACAGCUGAAAAUCCAGACAAUGAUACUACAGAUAUGUUGCAGUCACCUCUCACUGAGCACCAAGCUGGUUAUGUGCCCACAAUGACUGAUGAAGCAACACCACCCGCUGACACUGAACCAUCUGGCGAGUGUGAGAAAAUAAAACCAGAGGAAGAUAAUCAGAUGGAUAACAAUACACAAAAGCUUCACAUAGAUGGAUUUCUGGACUGGUGUGGUAAGUCAGAGAUAGCUAUCAUCAGUGCUGAUUCAGAGGAUUUCGGUAAAUCUAGCUUUGCAGCUGCAUCAGUAGAUAAUGGCACAGCAGCAAAUGCAGAUAACAGUACAUCUGGUGAACAUAACAAUACAGAAGUGAAAUAUAAUCAUGGAGCCAUUGGCAGCAACAUGCAACCAUAUGUUGUACAUUCCCAUGAGCAAGGUUCAGUAGAUCGAUUGCAUCAAAAUUCACCUGAAGUCUCAUGGGAUCACGACCUAAAACAAGUGGAUGGCAAGCAAGAUUCAUUGACAGUGGUUCAUAGCACUUUCGGAGGCCACUCAGAACAAUAUAUGAACAUAGAAGAACGGUUACAAUACUCGCAUUUCACUGAAACUUUCGCUCCUGGCAAUGGGAAAGCUGUUGGUGUUGGAGAUCAAGAGAACAACAUGGCUAAUAUGCAGCAGUUGCUUAUGAGUGGACUCCAAGACAAGGAAAUGGUACUAUUAACCGAGUGCAAGAAAAAAGAAUCAGAACAAGAUCCUCAGAUGGAUAAAGCUACAAGGAAGCCUGAAAUAUAUGGAUUCCCUGAUUGUCCCAGUAACUUGGAGCUAGGAAACAACAGUGACAACAGGCAGCCAUCUAACAGUUACCAUGAAAUUAUGGCAGAAAAGCAUGACAGUGCAGGUGAUUCAGAGGAUUUGUGGUAUUGUGGGCUAGAAAGGAAGUCUAGCUUUGCAGCUGCAACCGUAAAUAAGGAAAAGGCAGAAAAUGCAGACAAUGAUGCAUUUGGUGAGCAUAAAAAUAAAGGAGUGAAAUAUGUUCAUGACAUUGUUAGCGACAAUGGCAGCAGCAUGCAACCCUAUGUUUUUCAUUCCCAUGAGCAGGGAUUAGUAGAGCGAUUGUAUCAUGUUUCAUCUGAAGUCCCAGCAGAUCAUCAUGUGAAGUCAGAGGACGACAAGCAAGAUUCAUCAACAUCUUGUCAUAGCAUUUCCAAAGGCCACUCAGAACAAGAGAUGAAGAAAGCAGAAGAGUCAGAAGACGCACCUACCACUGAAAAUUCAAUUCCUGGCAGUGAAAAGGCUGUUGUUGUUAGAGAUCAAGAGGAGAACAUGGCUAAUCUGCAGAAAUUGCUUAUGAGUGGACUCCAAGACAAGGAAAAGGUACUACUGACCGAGUACACUUCUAUCCUCCGAAAUUACAAAAAUGCAAAGAGAAGGCUUACAGAAGUGGAGAUAAAGAAUCAGGAAUGUUUGGAUGAGAUGAAAGCCAUGAUGAGCGAACUGCGCUCUGCCAAUGAAUUGAAGGACAAGGAGAUUCGGUCACUGCGUGAACUCCUGAACUCUUCCACUGACAAAGAUGCACAGCACAAUGGCCAUCAUCAAAUGAAUACAUACACGUCCUUGAGUAUCAAGAGUGGGUCCUUCAGGGGGCACCGAAGGAUCCCAAGCUUUUUGCCUGGUCAUCAAAGGAGACAAAGCGCUUCUUCGAGUUCGAGGAUAAUCAUGAAUAAUUCUAGUCCCAAGAACAAAGAUGAUGCAUCACAUGAUGCUGUUUUCGAGCCAGAAAGAAUCGGUAUGGGUGACAUCAAAUUAACUAAUAUUCUUGAGAUGCAGAAUGCCUCACCUCUUGAGGACAAGUUCAGAAGAGACAUCGAUGGGCUUUUGGAGGAGAACCUAGAGUUCUGGAUGAAGUUCAGCACAUCAUUCGAAAAGAUUCUAGAAUUGCAGACCAAGCAUGAUCAGCUGCAAUCAGAGAUUGGCAAGCAAACAAACGAGGACAAGCUCAAGGAAAACAGCGGUGGCACAAGUGAUCCCCUUGCAAAAGCUGAACCCGAAACCAUAGAGAAGCGGCUAAGGGAACUUACGAUUGAAAUGCAAGUAUGGCUGGAACAGAACGCUAUGUUCAAAGGGGAGCUCCAGUGCAGGUUUGCUUCCCUCUGCGGUAUACAAGAGGAAAUCCAGGCAGCAAUGGAGAUGGAUGCAGAGACUGUGGAAGGAAUUCAAUUCACUUCAUACCAUGCUGCCAAAUUCCAAGGGGAGAUCUUGAGCAUGAAGCAGGAGAACGACAAGGUUGAGGAUGAACUGCAGGCCGGCUUAGAUUAUAUAAGAGGGCUACAAGAAGAAAUCGAAAAGAUCCUGGCAAAGAUACUGAAGAGCACUAGCUUAUCUGGGUCGAAAGGCAGCAGCCCUUGGAGGAAUGCGCCCUCUAAGUCACGAGUGCCGCUCCGGUCAUUCCUCUUCCCAGCCAAGAAAAAGAAACCAUCGCUGUUGGCAUGCAUGAAUCCGGCACUGCAGAAGCAGUACAGUGACAUGGCAUUCUUCGCUAAAAUGGAAUAG